rnacentral:rRNA from 1 species
CAGCAGCCACGGGAAUACGUAGGUGGCAAGCGUUGUCCGGAAUUAUUGAGCGUAAAGGGCUCGCAGGCGGUUUCUUAAGUCUGAUGUGAAAGCCCCCGGCUCAACCGGGGAGGGUCAUUGGAAACUGGGAAACUUGAGUGCAGAAGAGGAGAGUGGAAUUCCACGUGUAGCGGUGAAAUGCGUAGAGAUGUGGAGGAACACCAGUGGCGAAGGCGACUCUCUGGUCUGUAACUGACGCUGAGGAGCGAAAGCGUGGGGAGCGAACAGGAUUAGAGACCCCUGUAGUCCCUGUCUCUUAUAC